rnacentral:lncRNA from 1 species
UUGAGCUCAGCAAACUAAGGCCCAAAGUGACAUUGUUUUGUAUUGCAUUCAGACCAGGGGUGUCUAAGUAGCAACAAGGGUGUAUGCUAAAAAUACCAUGGGCUUAUGAAUUGUUAGAGCCUAAACCACCACGUCAAGGGAAAGGGGAAACAAUGAAGAACGCCUCAUUUCCCAAGUCAAUCAUACUUAGUCCUCUCUCCCUCACACCAAACCUCUCAUCGAAGCCCUUACCCCACCGCUCUGGAAAUCGCCUCCGGUGGCGGUGAAGGUCCAAACACUAUCAAGUUUACCUCAUCUGGCUUGUUUUUAUUUCUUCUCACUCAAUCUCAUAAUAUUUUCUUUGAAUUCCUAACCAACGCUGCGAAUCAAACCAAAAUGUUCGUGAACCGUAAAAUUACAAAACGAAAUUAAAUGGUGCAGAUGAGCUAAAAGGAGUCCAAACCUUAGGGGUUUGGCUCCUUAAGAACGUCACUAUAUUGUGGUAAGGGAGAGGGUUCAAUUUAAAGAGGAAAAGGCGUGAAACCUACCAAUGAGAACAAGAUGUUCCCCGGAAAUUAUUGGAAUGAAGAAGAUGAAGCCAAAGAGAAUUCUAGAGAAAACUUCAAGGAGGAAAAUGCUCCAAGCUUGCUUUUCCUCUGCUAUCUUCGUCUUCUUCUUAAACUUAUAGUCUGUAGGUGAAAAUAUGAAAUGUUAUUCUAUUGCUGAGUUAUUUUGCGUGCUUGAGAUUGGGAGUUGAGAGAAUUUUGGUGACCUUUCAAUGAAUGGUGAUUGUGAUUGUGUGUGAUUCUGAAUGAUUUUCAAUGAAUCAAUCUGAGAGUAAGGGAAUGAUUAGAUAGAGCUUGGGGCUUGUAACUGAAUGGAGCAGUUUGGUCAGGGCUGUUAGGGUAGAGUUAGCUCAGUUAUCUUUCUAAGUAGAAGUUUGUUAGGGUUAAUUAACUCGGUUAGGAACUGUUAGAUUCAGUUAUAAUCUAUUAAGUGCAAAUAGUUAAAUUGAAUUUUGUUAGCCUUCUGUUAUGUUAUAUUAUGGGUUUGAAUUUAGUCAUUGGAAUGGUGUUAAUUUAAGUGUAACUUUUAGAAGUUAGGAGGAAUCAGCAAAGUCAUUAUGUUAGCAAAAUGUGAAAUUGUUGUCAUGAAUUUUGAAUGCAUGUAUAAGUUGGGUUCAAUUAUUCUUAGUGUUAGUGAUUAAUGUGAGACUAAGGUUAGCAUGUUUAUGAUAAGCUACUAUUAGAAAAAUGGAUUGAGGCAAUCAAUUUGCAAUUGGAUUGAAGUGAAACAAAUACUUAAGCUUGAACUUAGGCGCCUGGAACUCUGUUAGGCAAUUAGUUAGAAAAAUGUUAGAAUGUUCCUGAGCAGUGGUUAUUCUGAAUGAAUUAGGUUGCAUUUGAACGUUAGAAUAAAAAUGUAACUUGUGAAAUACUUAUGAAUUAAUUGUUAUGUUAGUUGACAAUUGGAUUGAAUUUGGUAUUGGAAACUAUUAAUGGUUAAUGAUGAAUGUAUUAAUAAAGACAUUGUAGUAUGAGUUUGAAGAAAAAAACUUAUAAUUAUGGUUAAUGGCUUAUAGACAUUUUCAGUGGUAAUUUAAAUUUGGAAAAGAAGCAAAAAUGAUGAACUGGUAUAUGUUGAUGAACUACUAGGCAAUGGAUUAAAUGGGAUAAUAGUUUAGUCAUGUUGAAUGAUGAUGUAUUUCUAUACUAUUGUGGUGUAUGUGCAUGAAUCCUAAUGGUUCAUUACAUAUGGUUUUACAGGGAUGACACAUGGUAGGAGGAGCAAGUCAUGGAGGUUGGCACAAAUGUUAUGAAGAACAUGGGUCAAGGUUUGCAUGGUAAGGUUCAUAAAAGUUUUGGCAAGCUAUCAAACAUGAAGAUCUUGACCACUUUGGAAUAUAUUGUGAAGGAAGAAAAUUAGAAUUAGGGUUUUAGGAUUAGGAUUAGUUCAGUUGACUUUGGCCAAUUGUUUGACCAAAAAGUCAAUAGUUGACCAAAGUCAAUUGUAGGUCAAAAGUGAAAUCUUGUGUAAUUUGGCUUUGUAAUUUGGAUUUUAAAUGUAAAAUGGAUGUUUUGGUAAUUAAAAAUGGUCUUAAAUGAAAUGUCUUGUAUGUUAAGUAACUUGCCCUUCAGGAUUUGAAACUUGAAUUAAAUCUUGCACUUUCAAUA